rnacentral:rRNA from 1 species
UGGUGGAGUGAUUUGUCUGGUUAAUUCCGUUAACGAACGAGACCUCGACCUGCUAAAUAGAUCCACUCAUUCCUUCGUGAAUGAGCCGUGGUCUUCUUAGAGGGACUAUCGGCUUUGUAGCCGAUGGAAGUUCGAGGCAAUAACA